rnacentral:rRNA from 1 species
CCUACGGGUGACAGCAGUGGGGAAUAUUGGGCAAUGGAGGAAACUCUGAUGCAGCGACGCCGCGUGAAGGAUGAAGGUUUUCGGUUUGUAAACUUCUGUCGCCAGGGAUGAAGAAUGACGGUACCUCGUAAGAAAGCCCCGGCAAACUACGUGCCAGCAGCCGCGGUAAUACGUAGGGGGCGAGCGUUGUCCGGAAUGACUGGGCGUAAAGGGAGUGUAGACGGCAUAUUAAGUUAUGUGUGAAAGCCCGCGGCUCAACCGCGGAAUUGCACAUAAAACUGUACGGCUGGAGUGCAGGAGAGGUAAGUGGAAUUCCUGGUGUAGCGGUGGAAUGCGUAGAUAUCGGGAGGAACACCAGAGGCGAAGGCGACUUACUGGACUGUAACUGACGCUGAGGCUCGAAAGCGUGGGGAGCAAACAGGAUUAGAUACCCUAGUAGUC